UUGCUAUUCUACAGUGGACCUUGAUAAAUUCUGAUGGAAAGGAAGUAAUACAAAGGUACACAUCAAGAAGAAAACUGCUUCUCAUUUUGAUUAUUCAUUUUUAUCAUGCACAACUUGCCAGAAUAUUCAUCAUAUUUGGAAGAAGAAGAAGCUAUGUCAUGAAAAAACUGCUUCAAAUACAGUUGGUGUAUCUAGAGGAAAGAAAUGGAUUGAUUCAGAUAUACAAAACACGAUUUUAAAAGGACAAAGAUGUAAUGGGUGAAAAUGGAAGAAAAGAAAAAGAAAUACCAAACAAGAUUUUCCAGGGAUUUACAGGUCAUUGGUGAAAAUUGAAGAAAAAGAUAAAUGAAAUAACAAAAAUAGUUAAAUGAUUUACAACCAAGCAGCACUCAGCAAUAGUGAUGAUGGUUAAACAAGAUUUAGUGCCUACCACACAGUUAAAAGCAUGAGAGACAAGAAUGUCUACAGAACAGAGGAGACUAUUUUUACUGCACUUAGAUUUGUGUUUUAGUUAUAUUCAAUUAGUAUUAAAGA